UACGUAGGGCGCAAGCGUUGUCCGGAAUUAUUGGGCGUAAAGAGCUCGUAGGCGGUCUGUCACGUCGGCUGUGAAAACCCGGGGCUCAACCCCGGGCCUGCAGUCGAUACGGGCAGACUGGAGUCCGGUAGGGGAGACUGGAAUUCCCGGUGUAGCGGUGAAAUGCGCAGAUAUCGGGAGGAACACCGGUGGCGAAGGCGGGUCUCUGGGCCGGUACUGACGCUGAGGAGCGAAAGCGUGGGGAGCGAACAGG
rnacentral:rRNA from 1 species